CAAUAAUGUGAAACUUAAGCAUUGGAAUUUAUGCAUCUUUCAAUGAAUGCAUUUUGUUUUGUCUUGUGUGCAAAGACGCUACAUGUUUUUUGUUCCAGGUUUUAUUCAUAGGUUCUUGGGGUUGCCAAAUAUGGCUGCAGUUGUUACCAGACACAAGCAUUUCGGUCAAGAAUACCUCAGUACUGAGUCUAAAUAUGUUGUUCGGGAAUACACCAGCUCUGCGGCAGAAGAGGUGAAGUAUCAAUACCAAACACAGAAGAGAAUCCAGGGAGUGGUAAAGCCCUUUAAACAAUCAUUCCUUUCCUUUUCUUGACA
ensembl:lncRNA